UACGAAGGGGGCUAGCGUUGCUCGGAAUUACUGGGCGUAAAGCGUGCGCAGGCGGUUGUGCAAGACAGAUGUGAAAUCCCCGGGCUCAACCUGGGAACUGCAUUUGUGACUGCACGGCUAGAGUGCGGCAGAGGGAGACGGAAUUCCGCGUGUAGCAGUGAAAUGCGUAGAUAUGCGGAGGAACACCGAUGGCGAAGGCAAUCUCCUGGGCCUGCACUGACGCUCAUGCACGAAAGCGUGGGGAGCAAACAGG
rnacentral:rRNA from 1 species